CAGCAGCCACGGUAAUACGGAGGAUCCAAGCGUUAUCCGGAAUCAUUGGGUUUAAAGGGUCCGUAGGCGGUCUUGUAAGUCAGUGGUGAAAGCCCAUCGCUCAACGGUGGAACGGCCAUUGAUACUGCAGGACUUGAAUUAUUGGGAAGUAACUAGAAUAUGUAGUGUAGCGGUGAAAUGCUUAGAGAUUACAUGGAAUACCAAUUGCGAAGGCAGGUUACUACCAAUUGAUUGACGCUGAUGGACGAAAGCGUGGGUAGCGAACAGGAUUAGAUACCCGGGUAGUCCCUGUCUCUUAUAC
rnacentral:rRNA from 1 species